UUAUUUUUCCUGAAUUACCUGGAUAAUUACCUCAAGCCUAAUAAGUUGGAAAGAAGCCAGAGCCACAUUCUGAUGGUUUUAUGGCCCCUCCACAAUGUGUUCUUAUUGAAAGGUCCUGAUUGGGAGAAAUGAGCUGUUGAAGAUUGUGACUUCCUUAUUUCCCACAGGAGGCCCCAUUAGGCAUCUGGGGAAGAUAACGGUUUCUAAUGGUCAGGCUCCUGCGACUGUUGAAAGCUCCUCCAGGCUGAGGGACACAGCUGUCCUGGAUUCCUGACCUGUUCUGCGUGUCUCUGGGAGUCGUCACCCGGCUAAUGAGCCUUCCUCUUCUGCAAUUGUAUACACUUUGUGCUGAGUUUUAAGAUCUGCAAGACAAGCCCUGCCUCCCACGCAGGAUAUUUGAGGAGGGAUGCAGGUGAAGGAGAUGCUUUGCAUGUGCCCAGGAUAUUCCCAGCCUCUGUGCCCACCUUGCCAUAGAGCUUGGAAAAGUAAGCUGCCAGGUGCAAUGCAGCUUUCUGCUUAUGGCCUGGGAAAGCAGUGGAAGAUGGGCCAAAUCCUUGGGCCCCUGCACCUGUGUGGGAGACCCAGAAGAAGCUCCUGGCUCCUGGCUUUGGAUUGACUCAGCUCUAGGUUCUGGGGCCAUGUGGGAAGUGAAUUAGUGAAUGGAAGAUCUCUCUCUCUACCUCUUUCCCCCUCUGUCUGUAACUCUGCCUCUCAAAUAAGU